rnacentral:rRNA from 1 species
AUUGAACGCUGGCGGCAGGCUUAACACAUGCAAGUCGAGCGGGGUGAUGGUGCUUGCACUAUCACUUAGCGGCGGACGGGUGAGUAAUGCUUAGGAAUCUGCCUAUUAGUGGGGGACAACAUCUCGAAAGGGAUGCUAAUACCGCAUACGUCCUACGGGGGAAAGCAGGGGAUCACUUGUGACCUUGCGCUAAUAGAUGAGCCUAAGUCGGAUUAGCUAGUUGGUGGGGUAAAGGCCUACCAAGGCGACGAUCUGUAGCGGGUCUGAGAGGAUGAUCCGCCACACUGGGACUGAGACACGGCCCAGACUCCUACGGGAGGCAGCAGUGGGGAAAAUUGGACAAUGGGGGGAACCCUGAUCCAGCCAUGCCGCGUGUGUGAAGAAGGCCUUAUGGUUGUAAGGCACUUUAAGCGAGGAGGAGGCUCUUUUGGUUAAUACCCAGAAUGAGUGGACGUUACUCGCAGAAUAAGCACCGGCUAACUCUGUGCCAGCCGCCGCGGUAA